AUCUUAGUAGUGUAUAUAAACACACUUCAUUUUCGUUGAAGAGAAGAAAACCAUUUUCCUGAGAUA
rnacentral:tRNA from 1 species